rnacentral:piRNA from 1 species
UCCGAACCUACUUCCUGUGGUGCAAGGGAAU